rnacentral:rRNA from 1 species
UAGGGAAUCUUCCGCAAUGGACGCAAGUCUGACGGAGCAACGCCGCGUGAGUGAAGAAGGUUUUCGGAUCGUAAAGCUCUGUUGUUAAGGAAGAACGAGUGUGAGAAUGGAAAGUUCAUACUGUGACGGUACUUAACCAGAAAGGGACGGCUAACUACGUGCCAGCAGCCGCGGUAAUACGUAGGUCCCGAGCGUUGUCCGGAUUUAUUGGGCGUAAAGCGAGCGCAGGCGGUUAGAUAAGUCUGAAGUUAAAGGCAGUGGCUCAACCAUUGUAGGCUUUGGAAACUGUUUAACUUGAGUGCAGAAGGGGAGAGUGGAAUUCCAUGUGUAGCGGUGAAAUGCGUAGAUAUAUGGAGGAACACCAGUGGCGAAGGCGACUCUCUGGUCUGUAACUGACGCUGAGGCUCGAAAGCGUGGGUAGCAAACAGG